AUUGAACGCUGGCGGCAGGCCUAACACAUGCAAGUCGAGCGGAUGAAGGGAGCUUGCUCCUGGAUUCAGCGGCGGACGGGUGAGUAAUGCCUAGGAAUCUGCCUGGUAGUGGGGGAUAACGUCCGGAAACGGGCGCUAAUACCGCAUACGUCCUGAGGGAGAAAGUGGGGGAUCUUCGGACCUCACGCUAUCAGAUGAGCCUAGGUCGGAUUAGCUAGUUGGUGGGGUAAAGGCCUACCAAGGCGACGAUCCGUAACUGGUCUGAGAGGAUGAUCAGUCACACUGGAACUGAGACACGGUCCAGACUCCUACGGGAGGCAGCAGUGGGGAAUAUUGGACAAAGGGCGAAAGCCUGAUCCAGCCAUGCCGCGUGUGUGAAGAAGGUCUUCGGAUUGUAAAGCACUUUAAGUUGGGAGGAAGGGCAGUAAGUUAAUACCUUGCUGUUUUGACGUUACCAACAGAAUAAGCACCGGCUAACUUAGUG
rnacentral:rRNA from 1 species